UAGGGAAUCUUCCACAAUGGACGCAAGUCUGAUGGAGCAACGCCGCGUGAGUGAAGAAGGGUUUCGGCUCGUAAAGCUCUGUUGGUAGUGAAGAAAGAUAGAGGUAGUAACUGGCCUUUAUUUGACGGUAAUUACUUAGAAAGUCACGGCUAACUACGUGGCAG
rnacentral:rRNA from 1 species